GAGGACGCGCAGAGGAGCGUUUAGACACCAAGCGAAGAGUCACAGGGAUGCACUUUUAGCCCCAAAUACACCUCUGUUUUCACGCUUCAUCUGUGGACUCAACACUUGGACACUUUCCCCGUCUUCAAACCCAACUUUAGUGGAUUAAUUAUUUAAAAAAUGCGCUUGGAGCGGUUCCGCGUAAAGACGCCGGGGACUGGAGCCAUGCUCGCCCGCUGCCUGCUCUCUUUCUGCGGGCUUCUGCUCUCUGUUUCCCGGCCUGGGGAGGCGUUCAACCUGGAUGUGGAGAACCCGGCUGUGUACACCGGACCAAAUGGGAGCUACUUCGGAUACUCUGUGGACUUUUAUUUGGCUGAUUCUGCCAGUGUGAGCGUGGUGAUCGGAGCUCCGAAGGCCAACACGACGCAGUCCAACGUCACCGAGGGAGGGUCCGUCUUCUACUGUCCCUGGAGCAUCGGCCAAUCAGACUGCCACUCCAUCGACUUUGAUACUGAAGGUGAUCGCACCGUGUUGCUGAACAACACUGAACAUCAGAUCGAUUUUAAGUCCCACCAGUGGUUCGGAGCCACUGUUCGUUCUCACGGAGACACCAUCCUGGCUUGUGCCCCUCUCUACUCCUGGAGGACGGAAAAAGAUUACCCCCGUUCUGACGCCACAGGAACCUGCUACCUCUCAGUGCAAAACUUCACCAAAUUUGUGGAAUUUGCACCCUGCCGCACAGAGAUCAGUGACGCGGUGGGACAGGGUUACUGUCAGGGGGGCUUCAGUGCCGAUUUCACCACGGAUGGCAAAGUGGUAUUAGGAGGGCCCGGCAGCUACUUCUGGCAGGGUCAGGUGAUCUCUGCAGCUAAAGAGGACAUUAUCAAAGCGUAUUACCCUGGGUAUUUCAUGCAGUCUGUGGAGGGCCAGAAGCAGACCAGACAGGUGAAGUCCGAGCACGACGACAGCUACCAAGGCUACUCUAUCGCUGUUGGGGAAUUCAGUGGUGAUGAGGUGGAAGAUUUUGUGGCCGGCGUUCCAAAAGGACUCAAGCUUUAUGGAUUGGUGUCGAUUCUGAACGGUACCGAUCUGAAGACCAUCAUGAACUUCACAGGCGAGCAGAUUGGAUCAUAUUUUGGGUACACAGUGGCAACGACGGAUCUCAACAGUGAUGGUUUGACUGACCUGCUGGUUGGCGCUCCCAUGUUCAUGAUGCGAGGAUCCGAUGGUCGUCUGGAGGAAAUGGGCCGGGUCUAUGUUUACCUGCAGAGAGACCCCCUGCAGAGAGACGCCCAGCAGCUGGAGCUCCUCCUCCCUCACCUGACCGGAUCCCAGGUGAUGGGGAGGUUCGGCAGCACCAUCGCACCUUUGGGAGAUCUGAACCAGGACGGCUUCAAUGACGUGGCCAUCAGCUGUCCGUUUGGCGGGGAGGACCAGCAGGGUUUGGUCUACAUAUUUAACGGUUUCUCCGAGGGUCUGAAGGAGAAACCCUCGCAGGUGAUUUCGGGUCAGUGGGCUGCAGGAUCGGUUCCUGCCAGCUUCGGGUUCUCCCUCCGAGGAAAUAAAGACCUGGACAUGAACGGAUACCCAGAUCUCAUUGUCGGUGCCUUUGGUGUCAAUAAGGCGGUUCUCUACAGAUCCCGCCCCAUCGUGAACACCAGCGCCUCUCUGACCGUUUCCCCCACCAUGAUCAACCCGGAGGAGAAGAACUGCAUCGUCACGAAUGGAAACAGCAGCGUUCCCGUUUCCUGUGUCAACCUGAGUUUCUGCAUAUCUGCGGAGGGGAAGCACCUACCAGACGUUCUAGAUUUCCAGGUGGAAGUGCAGCUGGACAGCAAUAAGCACAAGCAGAAAGGAGCCGUGAGGAGGGCUCUGUUCCUGGACUCCCAGCAGCCUUCGCUCCAGAGGAGUGUGAGGGUGCGACAUGGCGAGCGCGUGUGCAACAACACCAAGAUCUACCUGAGAGAUGAGAAAGACUUCAGGGAUAAACUCUCCUCCAUUUACGUGGCCUUGAACUUCAGCUUGGAUCCGAAAGCAGCGGCAGACUCCCACGGUCUGCGGCCCAUCCUCAACUAUCAGACCACCAACGUGAUCGAGCAGAAGGCUCAGAUCCUGCUGGACUGUGGAGAGGACAACAUCUGCGUUCCCGACCUGAAGCUGGCCGUUCAGGGGAACAGGAAGGAAGUGUACCUGGGUGACGACAACUCGCUGACCUUGACUUUCAACGCCAGGAAUGAGGGUGAGGGGGGUGCGUACGAGGCGGAGCUAUACGUGGUGCUGCCCCCCGAGGCCGACUACAGCGGCAUCGCCAGGAAUAAUGAGAGCCUGACCCAGCUGACCUGCAGCUAUGAGACGGAGAACCAGACCCGGUACCUCAGCUGUGAUCUGGGAAACCCCAUGAAGUCUGGCAUCAGUCUGUGGGCAGGUCUGCGCUUCACGGUGCCGCGGCUGAAGGACACACACAAAACGGUUCAGUUUGAGAUGCAAAUCCGCAGUAAAAACGAGAAUAACUCUCACAGUGAGGUUGUGCCGUAUAAACUGGAGGUGGAGGUUCAAGCUGAAGUCAUUCUGCAGGGCGUUUCCCGGCCAGAUAAGGUCUUCUUCCCGCCGGUCAACUGGAAGCUGACCAAGAACUACGAGGUGGAGCAGGAUGUGGGGCCGCCAGUGGAGCACAUCUUUGAGCUGGUGAACAACGGGCCGAGUCGGAUCAGCCACACUCUGCUGGAGCUGCGCUGUCCAAUCAGAAUCCAGGGCCAGAUGCUGCUCUACCCCCUCAGCUUCUCCACCGAGGGACCAAUCAACUGCACCGCCGACAGGAACAUGAACCACCAACGCCUCAAGCUCCAGCGCACUUCAACAGAACCUCCUAUCCUGGCCCUGAAGGCACCGGAGCACCACGUCGAGAGAAGGGACGUCCACAAGAACCAACUCGCGCAUUUAACUAACCUGUCCUGCUCGAACACUGAGUGCUGGGCGCUGCAAUGCACUGUGGGUAUUCUGGAGAAAGGAACCACCGCCAUCCUCAAAGUGCGAUCAAGAGUCUGGGCUGAGACGUUCACUGAGAGAGCGUACAAACACUACGUGCUGGAGUGUCUCGCCCAAUACAGCGUGGAGAAGAUGCCGUACGCCAUCGCCCCAAAACACGCCCCCAGCGGACACAAAAAGGUUGUGACCCCGCUGGUGUGGAAUAAGCCGGACAUAGAGAACUCGGUUCCUCUGUGGAUCAUCAUCCUGGCCAUUUUAGCAGGUUUACUGCUGCUGGCUCUGCUCAUCUACGUCCUGUACAAGUUCGGCUUCUUUAAGCGCUCUCUCCCGUACGGCACGGCGAUGGAGAAGGCUCAGCUGAAGCCUCAGGCUGCGUCCGAGGCGUAACGCAGAACCACAGGAACCACAGGAACCGGCCGUAUGAUUGCAACGAGAAACACGAUGAAGAGUGGAUCAGAAAGAGAUUUAAGAGAUAAAGAGACACCACUGGAAACUCCACUGUGCUGCACUACAGGAAAAACCCAAAGAUCUCCAAAGCCAAAUGAAUGUUUUUAUUUCUUUUUUAACUUAUGUCGGCAGAACUGUUUCUCACUGAGAAUGAGCGACAGGAAGGUGACUGCAGAGAGAUGCUUUUACUCUGGUGCUAAUGAUCUCACAGGUUACAUGCAGGAGCUGUGAAUUACGCCGCGUGCAGAGACCCUGAAGUAUCCUUCUGGUAUCUCCUGAACACGUGGUUUUUACAGACGGAUGAUCGGAUUGUUUUCAGGUGAAAAAGUCGACAUUACUGGCCUACACGUCGGACCUGAAUCUGUUCAAUUGCUCGGCUUUUAUCACAUUUUUCCCAAGAAGCAUCGGUUCUUUAACGAUCGAUGCAAACGGCUGGAGGACGGCGCUGCGUUGAGAUGUGUUUGCACUCGAAGGAAAUCUACUGAUUUAUUCCAGAGAAACUUCAGAGUUGACUGGCUGACCUUCCUUUGAGAGUUUAGCUCCUACUGAUCACUUUGUUUGAACCCUCGCGCUCAUGUUCAGAGUCUGCCAUGCCUGCAGCAUCAUGGGGGGGUGCACCUCACAGCGGGAAGAAGAGAGGAUAUGUGCAGGAAGUGACGCUGAGGUGAAGCACGGGGGGGGGGAUGUCUCCACCCGAAGACAAUCAGCGAUGUUGUAGCUCGUUGCAGACAGAUUUAGUUGUAGGGUCUGUGUUCACAUAAUGCCUUUUUCUGCUCCCAGCGUCUCAUCCAGAGUUGUUUUUUUAUUGCUUCAAUGACACUGACAUCUUGACAAAAUAUCACAGGAGAUAGUAAGUCGGACUAGCUUCUCCCCCUUGGAUUUAAUCAUCUGUUUCUGCUACUAUAUAUUAGUUUGACGAGUUUUCUCACCUUACGCAGCAUACACAACAUGCUUGCUUUUACACUUUGUCUGAAUGCGCUCAGUCUGAGAGCUGUAGCGCGAGGAGGACGAGUUUUGUACUGAUUUAACCUUCACACACUCACCGUCAGCAACAUCUAGUGUCCAGGAUAAGAAACCAGGCUUGUUGGUCUUUAUGAUAAUUCCCGGCUGAAGACACAGUUAAAAACAAGCUUUUUAUCCAAUUUCUGCUGCGACAUCAUCUGCAUUUAUCUAAGAAGUUGAAAUAACUCGGAGAAGCUGCAAAAAAAUGGCGAAGCGCUAAGAAAAAAGUCGCUAUGUGGAGCGUCAGAUUCGGCCGUAUUUGAUGGCAUGUUCUCAUUGAAGUCAUUGAAAAAAGACGCCGGUGCUCAGAAAAAGGUGCCAUGUGGACUAGAGAGGAGGCGGGGUCUCCAGGGUUGCACGAUAACACGUCUCCACUUUGCGAUAAAUCCCAGAAAAAGACAUUGCAUGUAGAGUUUUUUUUCCAAUAUCGUGCAGACCCUCCCUCAGUUUGCAGUGUGUUGCUGUGAGAAACUGUAAUCCUGACUGUCUGCCCACCUUCAGAAAGAGAAGAGAGAGAAAGAGAAGAGACCAUCCCAGACGCUGCAGGGACUGAACGGAAAAAUGCAUCUUGUUGUCGUGUACAUAGAUGUUAUGUGCCUUAAAUGUAAAUACUGAGGGUUACAGGAGUGUGUGUGUGUGUGUGUGUGUGUGUGUGACUUCAUGCGGACAUGCAUUUGUGUGAAUGGGAUAUUUAUGAAUGUGUGUUCUGUGUAUGCAUUGGUUUGUACCCUUGUAACAACACAUUAAGUAACAAUUACACACAAUGCAAUACAGUUUUACUUCAUUAUGUAUUCAUCUGCUGCAUUUUUUAAUAGAUUGUUAUGCAUUGCAGUGGUGAUUUCAGUUUAAAAAAAAAUUGUUUUAAUUAAAUUGCAAUAAUCUAAAAUGUUGUAACAACGCUGCAGAUGUUAUUGUUUACUGUACAGUAAGUACAUGUACUCAAGUACUUCACUUAAGUACCACUUUGACAUACUUGCAAAAUAUUGUACUUUUUUCUCCAUUUCUUAGUUAUUAUUAUUAUUAUUAGAUAUUUUAAAGAUAAGAUGCAGUACUGUGCUACAAACAUACAUGUAGUGUCUCUACUUUAAAGAGUCCUCUCCUGCUGAUGUUCAGGUGUAUAUCAGUAUGUGGUGUCUCUACUUUAAAGAGUCCUCUCCUGCUGAUGUUCAGGUGUAUAUCAGUAUGUAGUGUCUCUAUUUUAAAGAGUCCUCUCUUGCUGAUGUUCAGGUGUAUA